AUAGCUUUCACCCCUUCCUUCCUCUGAACUUUACAGAACAAGUCAUCUUGACCCUGGAGAAGAGGAUUGAUGCUGUUAUUCAUCCUCGUUUUAUAUUUGAGGAGCCUUAACCAAAAAAGAGGUGACUUGUGUAAGGUCACACAGCUGCUGAUGAAUUCCCUUUACAGCCAUAUCAGUCUCCUCAGACUGUUGUCUGAUUUCUUGCUCAUCAAAAUUUCAUUUUUGAAAGAAUCCCAUCCUUCUUGAGCUGAAUUCAUCUUAGG
rnacentral:lncRNA from 1 species